UUUUUUUUUUUUCAGGAAUUGGUUUGUGUGAUUAAUAAAUAAAAUGAAGUUUGAAGAGAAAAAGGGUGAGAAGUGGAGGAAGAGGGGGCAUCCAUAAAAGGUAGUGAAGGGUGGGGGACAAGGGAAGAGGAGUCACGUGGGGAACACAUCGAAAUUCACGUGCAUGAGCAUGUCAUGUUGUGCCACGUGGUCCCAUCAUUGCCCCGUGCGUUUCAUUUUGUGUCUUCCUAACCAGACACGCAAUCUCCCAAUAAUCAUUGGAUACUCCUCUUAUCUAUCCUUCACACGCUACUUCCAUGCGUGUCCUUCACUUUCCUCCCGAGUUUUUUUUAUCGCACUUCUUUGCCAUCAAAUUUAUUUUAAUUGCUAAUACGGG
rnacentral:lncRNA from 1 species